rnacentral:rRNA from 1 species
AGGAGCUUGCUCUUCUUGGAUGAGUUGCGAACGGGUGAGUAACGCGUAGGUAACCUGCCUUGUAGCGGGGGAUAACUAUUGGAAACGAUAGCUAAUACCGCAUAACAAUGGAUGACACAUGUCAUUUAUUUGAAAGGGGCAAUUGCUCCACUACAAGAUGGACCUGCGUUGUAUUAGCUAGUAGGUGAGGUAAUGGCUCACCUAGGCGACGAUACAUAGCCGACCUGAGAGGGUGAUCGGCCACACUGGGACUGAGACACGGCCCAGACUCCUACGGGAGGCAGCAGUAGGGAAUCUUCGGCAAUGGGGGCAACCCUGACCGAGCAACGCCGCGUGAGUGAAGAAGGUUUUCGGAUCGUAAAGCUCUGUUGUAAGUCAAGAACGGGUGUGAGAGUGGAAAGUUCACACUGUGACGGUAGCUUACCAGAAAGGGACGGCUAACUACGUGCCAGCAGCCGCGGUAAUACGUAGGUCCCGAGCGUUGUCCGGAUUUAUUGGGCGUAAAGCGAGCGCAGGCGGUUUGAUAAGUCUGAAGUUAAAGGCUGUGGCUCAACCAUAGUUCGCUUUGGAAACUGUCAAACUUGAGUGCAGAAGGGGAGAGUGGAAUUCCAUGUGUAGCGGUGAAAUGCGUAGAUAUAUGGAGGAACACCGGUGGCGAAAGCGGCUCUCUGGUCUGUAACUGACGCUGAGGCUCGAAAGCGUGGGGAGCGAACAGGAUUAGAUACCCUGGUAGUCCACGCCGUAAACGAUGAGUGCUAGGUGUUGGAUCCUUUCCGGGAUUCAGUGCCGCAGCUAACGCAUUAAGCACUCCGCCUGGGGAGUACGACCGCAAGGUUGAAACUCAAAGGAAUUGACGGGGGCCCGCACAAGCGGUGGAGCAUGUGGUUUAAUUCGAAGCAACGCGAAGAACCUUACCAGGUCUUGACAUCCCGAUGCUAUUUCUAGAGAUAGAAAGUUACUUCGGUACAUCGGUGACAG